rnacentral:lncRNA from 1 species
CCUGUUGACAAAAGAGAAUAAUACAGGUGUCCUCCUGAAACUGUCACCACAGUGACCUUCCUCAGUCAAAAAGAAAUAUAAAUAUUAUUGUGUUUCUCGUGUCUGAGGCACCUCUGAAAGCAUUUAUCUUUUCAGAGAGUUCAGCACUUCAUCUCACGGGUUAAUUAAACCAACCUGUAGUGGCAAAGUUUAGUGGUAGUGAAAAUAAACAUAAUCCUCUUUCUGUUGCCCAA